GAUCAAUCUUCAUCAGGCUACAUUUCCAAUCACCUAAACAACCGAGCAAGACAAGCCACUCCGACAAGGUUGGCUGCCCGGCGGGUCUCUGUGAGAGAUCCAGGUAGAUGGUGAACGGCCCCGGCAGCUGAGGGCAGGUAAGGAGAAAGCCGCGGGGCCACCCCGGACUCCGGGAGCGCGUUGGUUACCCUUACCUCCCCCUCCUCAAAUGGAUCCCGGCUUCCCCGGUCCCCAGCAGGUGGGCGGGGCUGUGGGAGCGGCCUGGCUCCCCUCUUGGUGAGCCGAGGACCCCGGGGCGCUGUCGCGGCCCGCAGCCCCCUCCCCCGCCUCCUCCGAAGUAACCAAGCUGAAGUGCUAAGUUUGGAGAAAGUCUUUGAAAACUCACGCUGCAGCUUCGCAAAGCCGUCGCAGCUUUGAGUCCCAUUUUCCUUCGGCCCUAGAGCCCUGGCUGCUUCCCUUCCGGUCCCCUUCCUACAAGCUGGACUCCCUCAGCCCAGGUCUUGGGUCCCAGAAGACGGGGGCGGGAACGGGGCUGGGGGGAGCUUCUUUAGCUCUAACUUCUCUCCUUGAACGUCCUAGCCCGAGUCCCUGGCUUGCUUCACAGCGAUCCUGCUAAGCGGGGUG
rnacentral:sRNA from 1 species